GGCUGAGCAGCUUGUUCUUGUUCUUCUGGAGUAUGUGGACUGAAGUUCAGAUCCAGAACCCUCCCUACAUCAUCCUCCACUUCUGGAGGAGUUGAGUUGAUAUCAAUGAGCAGGACCAUUUUCGCGUAUUAUGGACCAGCUGCAGAAAAGAAAUCCAUGUAUGAGGAGGAGCAGUUAGUGGAGAAGCACACCAACAUCGCCGCAAAAAGCACGACAACUAAUAUGAUUGUUACCUUACUGUCCAUUGCAUGAACAUCUGCUUUACAUCGAGAUUCUGGCAUGAUAAUAGUGAUUCAUGGCAGCUACCUAAACUAAGCAUUACAUGAUUACAUGGUCUGCAGGAUUUUAUACUGAUUGUUACUUCCUUUGAUGCAGAUCACAAGCAGAAGAUGGCGUCGGUGUCCCUGUGUCCAACAACGUGGUAACCUGGUAGUUAUGCUGUUUCUGCUUAUGAUCAGCGGAUACCAAGAUACUUUGAUCCCGGGGAAACUAUAUUGGAAACUUGCUUUAACUGUGGAUUGUUUGGACACAAUGCGAAGCAGUGCACGCAGGUUGGUCUCUCUAGCUCCGAGGAAUUAUCGCUCGGUGACUUGGGAGCUACAAGAACGGGUUCAUGUGGCACGACCUCGCCGAGGAUGACCUCGUCCUCCCGGCCACAGACGGCGAGUAUGUGCUCAAGGGCUCCGAGCUCCUGGACCAACCUUCUUCUGUGGUGUCAUCUUUUGCUUGUUUAAAUAUAC